rnacentral:rRNA from 1 species
GAUGAACGCUGGCGGCGUGCUUCAUACAUGCAAGUCGAACGAGAAAUCAACUUCGGUUGGUGGAAAGUGGCGGACGGGUGAGUAAUGUGUAGAGAAUCUGCCCUUUAGCGGGGGACAACAGUUGGAAACGACUGCUAAUACCCCAUAUGCGCGUACUUGGAAUAGUAUUCGUGAAAACUCCGGUGCUAAAGGAUGAGUCUGCAUCUGAUUAGCUAGUUGGCGGUGUAAUGGACCACCAAGGCGACGAUCAGUAGCUGGUUUGAGAGGAUGAUCAGCCACAAUGGGACUGAGACACGGCCCAUACUCC